rnacentral:rRNA from 1 species
UACACACCGCCCGUCACACCAUGGGAGCCGGUUGCUCCAGAAGUGCCUGCGCCAACCCGCAAGGGAGGUAGGGUCCCAAGGAGUGGCUGGUAACUGGGGUG